rnacentral:rRNA from 1 species
GCGGUGGAGUAUGUGGUUUAAUUCGAUGCAACGCGAAGAACCUUACCUGGUCUUGACAUCCCGGAGACCCUUAGGAAACUAGGGGUGCUUCCAUCUGGAAGAAUCUGGAGACAGGUGCUGCAUGGCUGUCGUCAGCUCGUGUCGUGAGAUGUUGGGUUAAGUCCCGCAACGAGCGCAACCCUUGCCUUUAGUUGCCAGCAGUUCGGCUGGGCACUCCAAAGGGACUGCCGGUGUUAAACCGGAGGAAGGUGGGGAUGACGUCAAGUCCUCGUGGCCUUUAUGACCAGGGCUACACACGUACUACAAUGGCCGAUACAAAGGGCAGCGACACUGCGAGGUGAAGCCAAUCCCGUAAAAUCGGUCUCAGUCCGGAUUGGAGUCUGCAACUCGACUCCAUGAAGUUGGAAUCGCUAGUAAUCGUGGAUCAGCAUGCCACGGUGAAUACGUUCCCGGGCCUU